rnacentral:lncRNA from 1 species
UCAGAUUUUGGCAUUGGUCCCUGCACUUUUUUUUGUUUGGCAUUGAUCCCUGCACUUUGUAAAAAUAUUGGUAUUGGUCCCUCUGUUAACUUUCUGUUAAAAAAAAAACAUAAAACUAACGGAGUGCCACGUGGCCCAAUCAUUUCACGCCACGUGGCACCAAUAUCAAUAUUUUUACAAAGUGCAGGGACCAAUACCAAUAUUUUUACAAAGUGCAGGGACCAAUACCAAUAGUUUUGUGUUUUUUUUUUAACAGAAAGUUAAUAGAGGGACCAAUACCAAUAUUUUUACAAAGUGCAGGGACCAAUUCCAAACAAAAAAAAGUGUAGGGACCAAUGCCAAAAUCUGAUGAAAGUGUAAGGACUAAAGACAUAUUUAAACCAUAAAUUUUUAUCAAUGAGGUAAAUAUAUGCUAAAUUUUUAGCUAUAUAUUUAUAUUGUCAUUCUUUAAUUGUUUAUUUUUCACCGCUAAUUCAAAAUAUUGAAGAAUUACAAAGUUUAAACCAUUUGUUGGGAUUCAUAUCUGCAUCAUGAUCAUCAUAUGUAUAAAAUACUUUAAACAAUUUUUCUCUCAAAUAUUUAGAAAAUGAGCUCGUCGGUCUUACAUAGACGGUGGUUCUUAAGUGAAUAUAUUUUUUAAUUUAUAAUAACUAACGUAAAUAUGGUCACUAACUUUGACCAAAAAAAAAAAUAGGUACUAAAUGCAUCUUCGACUAUCUACUUUUAUUCAAAAACAAAGAUAAAAUGGUAAAAAAAAUGAAGGGAGAAAUUAGAAGAAAACACAUACAAUAUUUUUAGUCAAAAUAAGGUUUUUUAUAUUGUUCCUAUUAUUGUGGGUUGUUCCUCCUAUUAUUGUGGAUUGUUUAUAUUUUUAAUGAGAUUUAACUAUUGUUUGAAUGAUAAUUUAAAUAAAAAUUAUGAAAUAAUUUAAAUGAAUGAGUAAAACUGAAGGAAAAAAUACAACUUAAAAUUAUGUUUUUCUUUUAUAUAUUGGUAUAGAUUAUUACAGUUGCAUUUAAAAUAAAUGGAAAUAAUCCAUCUUUCUAAAAAACAAAAAAAAAAAAUAACAAUCCUUGAUAAAAUAACUAUGACGUGACAGCAAAAUAUCAAUAUUUAAAAUUAAUAUUUUUGUCUUAAUCAAUUUUUAGAUCAUUUACUAAAAAACGAAAGCUUAAAUUACGUAAUAAGUUUCUUAACCUUUUAUGUGAUUUCAUAUUGGUCCUAUAAUUAAUUUUUGUUACAUCUUGAUUUUGUCAAAAAAAAAAAAAAAAUGUUACAUCUUGGUGAAUUAAGAGGCCAAAACAUAACGAAAAUUGAUCAUAUGAUUAAUAUGAAGCAUCAUAAAUAAUUAAAUGAUUCCUUGAGAGAGAAAAAAACUAGACUUAACAAUUAUUUAUGACCAGAUUGAAAAGGAGAUGAUAUCUCAUGGUCGUUGUAUAAGACUUGACUUUGAAGCGAAGCAGUAGUUGUGCAGUAGGUAUCUGGAUCUUAGAGAUUUCAUCACCAUGUUUACAAUGUCUCAUCCAUGUCUUGAUUUAAGCAAGUUCUCGAGUGAGUAAACUGCAAACUUAACCAUGAAAUUAAUAAAGCAUCACUCCCAUCAAGAUUAAAUAUCUACGUCUAUAUAAUAUUUUAGAGGUAACCUCAAUUUGGUAUUCCAAAGUUGAUGUAUCGUGACUCAUGAGUAAGAGAAAGUAUCAUCAUAAUCAUGAAUAUACAUAACAAUUAGUUUUCUAUUUUUUCCUAAAAAAAUAAUUAGUUUUCUAUUUUAUGGUGCAAUAAUGACACUAUUCACAGAUAAAUAGAGUUCAUGUACCCUCAAAUUCUAAAUAAUUUUACAAUAUGAACAUGAACUCAAUUCACAUAGUCUAUGCAAACUCAAUUCACGUAAACAAUAUAUCCUCCCUCCGUCUUUAAAUAUAAGUAAAAUUAACUUUUUAGGUUCAUUUAUUUAAUGAUGUAUAUGGUCCAUAUUAUGAAACACGUACAUCAUUAAAUAAAUAAACCUAAAAAGUAAAUUUUGCUUAUAUUUUAAAACGGAGGGAGUAUUAAUUUUUGUGUACGUGAAUUUAACCAUCAUACUAUACUAACAUUUCGAGUGUGUUUAGAUUGAGGGUUUAGGAAGGGGGGCUCACUUUUAUUUUUUAAAUUACAAACAAUGCAAAAUGUUUUUUAAAAAAAAUUAAGUGUUUUUGAUGUAAUAUAUGUUUAUUUAUCAUGUUGUUGGUUCAAUUUUCUAAAAAUCAUUUUACAAUGUCCGUAAUUUAAAAAAGAAAAAUAAAUUUUCCCCUCCUAAACCCUCCAUCCAAACACAUCCUUCAAUUUUCACUUAAAAGAAAUGUGUGUGUGAAUUCCCAACACUUUCAUUCACUUUCAAUUGUCACGAGAGUCCCAAACCACUGCGGCCACCUACACCCUAACUUUAUCACAAAUUUUCACUAUAAAUUAUACCCUUAAAUAGGUUGGGGAAAAAACCAAAAACUCGAAUCAAAUUGGCGAACUAGACUGAACUAAAUUAAAAAAAAUUGAAACAUUACUAACAAUUCUAAAACUAAACUGAAACAGUUCGGUUUGAUUCGAAACAGUUCGGUUAUGUUCCGUAAUUAAAAUUCAAUUUCGUUUGGUUUUUUUAUAUUGUUUUCAACGGUACCAAUAAUAACAAUUCGGUUCGAUUUGGAACAGUUCAGUUCGAAAUACAAACAAUUUUUUAUAGGCCAAUAGAAAAAUGACAUCAAUAAGAGUAGUGUUCAAUUAAGUUGGAACCCUAGUCUUAUCUGUUGUCAAUUGCUCAUAUAUAUUAUUAAAAAAUGAAUAAUUACAUAAAAAUUGGAGGGACAUACAACCUGACCCAGCCAACAAUCCUAACGGGCAAAACAACAAAUAAAUAAAAAAAACAAAAAAUAGAAAAUCCGCAAUGUGGAUCCAACCCUAAACAAUUUCAACAAUUAAAUGCGGGUCUAAACUUUGGCGAAUGAAUCGAUCGUCAACACGAAAUCGGAUCACGUACCAUCAACUCUUUACAACAACGACAUCAAGCAUUAACGACUCUUUCGAGUCCAUACAGCCUCGUAUCAAUCAACAAGAUGACUGAGAUAACCCGAGAAUGGUGUAUGAAUCGACUGUCAACACAAAGUGAUUCAAGAACCAAAAGCCUCGACCACAAAAGCAGCAGUUUUACCGAUCCUUUCGACUCCAAACCAAGCAAGAAAUAUCUUCAUUAAAAUCGAUCCCAAGCUUUGAAACUGGACAUUGAAAUCGCUCGCCAACACGGUUGCAAAUCCAUCAAUCCACCACUCACCGCGACGAACCUCGACAAAAGUAAGUCCAUGGCCGUUCCUAAAGUUUUACAGGCCUUAGGCAUAGUAUGAAAAAAGGGCCAUUUGUAUUAUAUCAUAUAUAUAUAUAUAUAUAAAAUGUUUCAUUCAUAUAUAUAUAUAUAUAUAUAUAUAUAUAUAUAUAUAUAUAUAUAUUUUUUAUAAAUGAUGAAUGAGACAUGUAUUAGUUAUAGUGUGGUUGACAUCCCAGCUAUGCUCGCACCAAGUCACUAUAAUACGAUAUUUUCAUGAUCCAAAUUUUCAUUGUUGUUGUUUUCCAAAUUUGGCACAUCAUUAGGAACAUUUUCUUGGGUAUCUACCUUUUUGAAAACAAAUUUAUCAAGAGCUCCUUGUUGUGAUUUUAUUAGCUCUUCAUUUCGUUUUUUUUUUUUUUUUCGUUUUUCACUACCAGACAAAUGUUUUUUAGGCAACAUCUUUAAAUAAAUCAGAUUCUCAAUAGAAACCAAUACAAACAAACAAACAAAAAAGAAAAACCAUAUUAGUACCAAUAGUAAGUGAAGUGGAGAGCAAUAGCACCUUAAAAUAGACCAAGUUUUAACACCUGAAAAUAAAAGUGCAACAAAAAAAAAGAAAUAUAUCAACACUUAAUUAAGCAAAAAUCAAGAAUUGAAUUGAAAAAAAAUAUAUAUAUACAAAAAUCACGUGUACCUACAGUGUACAAACAAUUAAUUAAAAAAAAUAUCAAAAAUAAAAAAUGACUGUUAUAUGUACAGUACGUGAAGUGAACUCUUAAAUCAAUAUCAUACUAUUUGUUUUUAAGCUUUUCGGUGUACACUACAAAUCAUGUUAUAUGGAAAAAUAAAAAAUUCAAUUGGAAAAAACAUAAAUCAUUCAAUUAGAAUUUUAAAAUUCAACACCUGAAACAAUUAGAUAAUUGAAACAAUGAUUAUCAAAGAGAAUUGGAAUAAGAAAAAAAAAAACAUAAUUAGAAUUCAACACUUGAAGCAAUUAGAGAAUUGAAACAAUAUCAUCAAAUAGAAUUGGAAUAAGAAAGAAAAAAAAAAAACCUAAAACAAUUCACCUGGAGAGAAUGACUGAUUUUGCAACCUUUUGGUUUUUCUUUUUAGGUUUCUUUUUUCAUCUGUCUUUCUAAUUGCUCAAAAUAAGUUUUUGUUUGUGUGUUAGUUGAGCCAAUUUCAUUAUUUUCCUCUUUAUUGGACCUUUCCACGUUUUUUUUUUUUUCUGUUUUAUUCCUAAUGGGCCCAGAAAAUGAUUCAGAAUUAGGCCUGCUGUUACGAAUUACUAUACGCACCCCACUUUUUCCUUAGCUUUGCUAUAUACACCCCCUAUAAAAAACAAUUUUAGGGCCCCCUACGAGCAUGGGCCCUAGGCCGUCGCACUCGCGGCCUAUGCCUAGGGCCGGCCCUGAGUAAGUCUUAACGGCCGCCUAAAUUAACCAUCCAUAAGAAAGGCCACACUCUUUCGAGCUAACCAUCCAAAGUGAAUAUUUGUCCAAGACAUCGAAGCACAUUCAGAUUAAUUAUAGAACCGAACCAACAUUACCAGAGACAAGUUUGAGUAACAUCAAACUUAUCUUUUAAACGAAGAAUGGUGUACGAACCAACCACCAACACGGAUGGGUUCAUGAACCAACAACCCCCACAACAAAUCAGAGCGAGCACUUAUGGCCCUUUCGAGCCCAUCGAACAUCGCACGAAGCAAACUAGAUCAGAAAAAUAAAAAAUUGUACAACGACAACGAGGUUUUGAAACAGAACCUUAGAACCAACAACCAACGAAACCAUCAACAAACUCAUCUCCAUGAGCGUAUCAGUGAAUUCGUUAUAGAAAGAGGAAAAAUGGAUCUGACCCCGAAGGGUUCUGAACCGGAAAAUGGCGUCGACGCGAGGGCUAACAACCACAAGAACCAACACCAAACUAGAACGGAGAAUAGGGUGGUGCAGCCGUAAGAAUGGCGAACGCACCACCAUGGGAACAGCUACAUCGUGAAUUUGUGGUUUGGAUUGUGAGGGAGAUGUGUGGCGGCGGUGGUGGUGUAUGCGGCUAGAGAGAGAGGAAAUGCAAAUAGUUCGGUUAAAAUCAGUUAUUUUAAAUUUAGCAAACAAUUAAGUUCGGUUUAGUUUUCGUUAUCAGUCGAUAUCUCAGUCAAAUAUAUCCUUCAGCAAGUUUUAUCUGAGUUAAAUUCAUGUCAUUUUCAGGGGAAUUUAUGUUUUUUUUUUUAUUGUAGUUUACCAAUUUUAAUAAAAGAAAUGAUAACUGAACACAAAAUGACAGACACAAAUACGACACCACCGUAUUUUUACUAUUCAUCAAUACUGUUUUUUUUUCUUCUUCAGCUCCCAGGUUUUUUUUUUUCUUUCUCUGCUCUCAUCCCCUCACGUACAACUCUCCGCUCUCUCACUUGCAAUAACAUUCCUCUUCCUCUUCUCUAUCACUCUCUCCUUUGCAACACUCUCUCCAACAACCAUUCGUCGGAGACCUUUCGCCGUCGUCACUCUUCUGACCUCGCCUGUGGCGGAUCUGAAUCUUGUAGGUGUCGGCGUCGCUUUCCUCACCUCGCAGAUGUCGACGUCCGUCUCUUGACUUCGCAGUGCGUUGCUCAGAUCUGUUUUUUGUUGGCAGAUCUGAAUGGUGGUUGGUGGAGUGGACGAAGACGGUGUGUGGUGGGAGGGUGGGUGGUGCUUGGUGGCGGUGGCGGCUGUUUACUUACAGAGAGAGAAGUAGAGGAAGAACCUAUAAAAAAAUGUCCCUCAUUUCUACAUGUAAUAUCAAUUACGCCAUUGAGUUUUGACGGAAAUUACAAAAUUAUCCCUGGUGUCGUUUUUGUGUUAGUAUUUUUGUGUCAGUUAUCAUUUCUCUUUUAAUAAUGAAUAACUUUUUUAUUUAACACGGAAAUAUCAGUGUGAAACAAAAUUAUUGUUUUAUUGGCCAAUUUGACAACUGAUUUUGAAAGACCCUGAGUGGCUAUUCGAAAUCAUUUAACAACAUUCGUUCCAGUUUUUUCAUACCAAAAACCCUUUCCUUGGUUUUUUCUUUAAAAAAACAACCUUUCUUACGAUAAAAAAAAAUUGUGAUGCUUUUUUUUUACUUGAGUAUUCACCAAUUGUUUUUUAUAGUAAAAAACACAAAAUAGAUGUGGAAUCUUCGUCAUGGAGUUGCACUUGCAAAAGGACCAAUACUCAUUUCCAUAAUGCACAUCACAUUAGUUUAUCAAAUACAAUUAAGAAUCAUUUAGGUCAAGUUCUUAUAACAAUAUUUUAUUGGAUAUAGUUUUCUAUGUUGACGGUGGACAAACGACUUAUACGCAAUGGAAUAUCCUAUAAAUUAACCAAUUAAUUAAAACAUUUUAAAAUUUCAAAUAAGUUACACUUUGUGCCUCAGAUUCUGAUUUGAUCUUAAAGAAUCUCGAGAACAUAAUAUGAUUACCCGGAAAUUAUAUUAAAAAUAAGGAGUCCUUUUGAAUUAAACGGUCGAGAGGAUACGACAAAUGAUUCUAUUGGCAAAAUUAUACGUAAAUAGGAAUCAUGUCCCAUUGCUAUAAAAAUAGAAUCAAAUCCUCAAUUUAUGUCUUUAAUUUAUAAUAUUGUUUAUGACUUAUGUCAUGAAUUAAGAUUUUUUUAGCAUGUUGUUUGUACGAAGUUUUUACCAUGUUUAUUGAUGACUUAUUUUUCGAAAGACUUAUUGAACAUAUAUGAACAUAUAAAGUGAAUUCUCUAAUUACAAAUGUUUAACUAAGAGUCUAAGAUUAAGGUGACUUACACAAUAAACUAGAUAUAUUUUGAAAAAUCAAAAUUUUGAUCAUCAAAUAUUUUGAUUAGUUUACAAGUUUUCAAACGACAAAUAUUAAUUAAUAGUUGUUAAGAUGUUAGGCGAUCCACCACAUAAAAAUUGAGGUGUUAUGUUUAUAGUUUCUACUCAUUUUAUAGGUAUCCUUGUUGUUGGUUGUGCUUAGUAAAUUGUAUUGUUUAGAUAACAAAAGAUAGAGAUUAUUUAUAGGAAGAAAAAAAAUUAACCACCUUCGAAUAUCCAAAGUUGCUUAUAUGAGAAAAAGAAACAAAAGAGAAAUGAGGAACUACGAACUGUAUCGAAGUUUGGUUAAUAAAAAUGUUAUCAACAACUUCAUUGAGUAUGAUCGUUUGAAAAUAUAGGGGACAUUGUACAAAACAUAGAUAAAAAAUGAUCAAUUGAUAUCACCGUGUCGAUUGCAAACAUAACAUUACGACACCUCUGAUAAUUUUUAAGAAAAAAUCAAAACUGGUUCAAAUAAAAAAUAUUUUCAGUAGAUUCUCCUUUUUUUUUUAAAUAAAGCAAGAAAAAUCAUUAUUAUCUUAAUAAGAGUGACACUAAUGACAAUUUUAUAACUGUUCUAUAUGAAAUUUAAACAUUCUUUCUCGUGGUAACAAAAUUAAACUUUAUCACCAAGUUGACACCGCAUGGACAAAGUUAGUUUUCAAACUCUUGAAAAUCAUUUUUGAUAGAAAAAUUUUUAUGUAAAAAAAGCUAGCUUCAUUAUAGUAAAAAAACGCAAAACAACUUUUGUUUAAUCUUUAAAUUUUAAUUUUUGAAAAAACAAAAUGUGUAUUAAGAAACAUAUACCAAACAUAAGUUGCGCAAAACAUAGAGGACUGAUACAAAGCUUUAAUCCAGUGACAUUUUAUCAACAUUGUUUCUUAAGCGCAAUUCGUAUGAUAAAAUAUUAAAGAUGUAAAAGCUAGUUUCAUAUUAGUUAAAUUAGUUAGCCUAAUUGGCUAUAUAAAUCUUAAGGUACUACUUAAUGUAAACACAUUCUCACGUAAUCAAUAUUAUUUCAAUUUAAUUUUUCUACAGUUUUAUCUCAAUUAUAAAUUCUAUAAAAUUUUGUAAUAUUGUAUCAGAUAGAAUAAUUAUUCCGCUAUAUUCUUUCUCAAAAAAAAUUUGAGAAAAAUUUCAUUGAAUCUUUGUCAUUUUAUUUUUACUUCUUUCUAUUUUGAUUCUUGAAGUAAGUUUCUGAUCAAGAUUCUAAACUUUGAGCUUUUCUUUUGUGUUGUGCCUGAUUCCAAGACACUCAAACUAAGGUCAAGGAACUAAUAAACAAGGAAUUAGUUCAAAAUCUUUGUAUAAAAAAUUUAUGGAUGAUUGUGUAUUUUUUUAGUAGAUGUAUUUAGGCAUUUUAUAUUCUUUUCUGUCGAUCUUUUUCAGCAUUUUUUAUUUUUUUAUUUUUCAGGCUGGAAGUGUUAUAAACAUCUUUUAACUCGUGGGAUGCUAUUAAAGAUGUAAAAGUUAGUUAACCUAAUUGGUUAUGUAAGUCUUAAUGUACUACCUGUUUUUUUUUUUUCAUCUUCUUUAAAAAAAAAUGUACUGCUUGAUGUAAACACAUUCUCACAUAAUCAAUAUUACUUCAAUUUCACUUUUCUAUAUUUUUCUCUUAUCAGAUAUGAAUUUUAUCGAGGAUUGUCAUUUGAUACGUUGGAAUACCGGUUCGAACUCACAAUUUCUCACUUCUCAACAUUUAUUGUAUGUUUGGAUACGCGGCACAAGCAGAAAUAUCGCGUCCCGAGGCUGUUUUACCGUGAAAAUAACAAAGCUACAAAAGGUAGCUUCUUUGCAAACGGCGUUUUUAUUGAUUCCACCGCUACAACAAACACAACCUUAGGUGCGUUUGAUUUGCUAAAAAAUGAAGGACAGGACAGAACAACUCUAGUUGUCCAGUGUUUGAUUUGUAAAACUGUUUCAGGUACAGGACAAACUGGAGGCAAGGAACAGGACAAAAACUCAUAUUUUUGUCCCUCACCAAACCACAACACAACUUUUUGUCCCACGUACAAGUUGUCUAAAAUACCAAAAUAGCAUUUUGUCUCUCAAAAAUCAUAUAAAACAAAAAAUACUCAAUGCCAUAAAAAAUUUGUCAUGUGUUGUUCUGCCUUGUGUUGUACUGUUCUAUCUUGUACUGUUCUGUCAAGUACUUACUGUUUUGCAAACCAAACACACCCGUAUCUGAGUUUCUUCGCUAAGUUUCUUAAAAACUAAAAAAACAUCAAUUUGUUUUUAAUAUGUAACAAACAACCCUUAAUCAAUAAUGUCAUAUUUGUAAAUAAUAAUAAUAUCAUAAACUUUAAGUAUCUUUUAAAACGUAUUUAUCGACUUAAUUAAAAAUUUGUCUACUUAAUUAAAAUUUUGAUAAAUACUUAAUUAAAAAUUUAAAGAUAAUACGCAAAAAUUUACCCACGUAUGGCAAGAGUCUCUAACUAAUUUUAUUAUGCAAAAUACACGGGGAAUAUUAUCCUCCAAUGUCAACGUUUAAAAGUCAACUAUGUGAUUUUUUGGAAUAAAAAAAAACAGUGUAAUAAUUUUCAAAUUACAAAACAUUAUCUUAUAAUAAAACAUAUAUUUGUCUUAAAAACAGCAUAUAUAUUCACGGGGAGACAAACAAAUGUUGACUUUAUUUGUUUAUUGAGUGGUUUUGGUUCAAGUUAUUAAUUGUGCAGAAGAUAAACACUAUUCCAAUAAAUAUAAAUAUAGACUUAUUCUUCCGAUAAGCUCUACUACUUAUUUUAUUUGGCAAUGCCUCUAAUAUAGCGUGGUGCAUGUCUAAUGUCUUUAUUUAUCAAUUUAUGAGUGGGGACUAAAACAGAAUGGUCGACUAAUAAAUUUUGGAUUUGUAACAAGUGACAUGACAUGAUUAAAAUACUAUGUAUUCAAUUAUAUACAGAUCAUCACAAAGCUGUUAUAGAGAUUUUGCAAGAUUUGUUCUCACACCUAAAUAGAUUUGCUCAAGUCAAACCGUAUAUUUUCACACAAUCAUACAAUUAAAUUGAUGGUGUUCGUGUUUGAGACCCCAAUUGGACGGGUCAGAGGCUUUGGUUAUUAGAGACAGGAGUAUAUAUUUAAUUUUUUGAGUUUUGUAAUAUACUUCCGGUGAGUACAAUCUUUAAAAUUAGGGUUUAGUUUCUUUAGGUCAUGUCGUUGGAAUGAUCUUAAGGUAGGUAUUUAUAGCGCUUCUUCCGCUUGCAUUUUCAUGACUUUGGCCCUAAGUAACUUAGAGUACAAGUCACACAUUUUUUAUUAUAGAACGCUUCUGGAUGCUUCUAGUAGUCAUUAAAGACGGCGAUGAGGGAUGAACGCACCUUAUUGUUAACUAACCUUUACGAGAGAAUAUUAACCCCUUAUUAUAAUAUUAUCGAUUCAUAUCCUUCAACACAAGUCUUGAGACAAGACGAAAUGAUUUAAUAUAAAGUUGGCGGUCCAAUUAUUAAAAGAUGUUACAAGUAUUGCACCAUUGUAUCCCUCCGUGUUUUAAAACCAGCUAGAAUAACUUUCAACAAUACAUUUCAAACUUGAUACUUAUUAUAAAUAAAAAUAAUAAUAUUUCCUCAUGUUUUUCUAGAAGGAACGGAUAAAAAAAGGGACACUAUACUUGUUUAUUACUUAAUGUCUCAUUCAACGUUCCAGUUGUUAUAUAAUUGUAUAUAUCCCCUUCAAUCCUUUUUUUAUGAGAUAUUUUGAAUCUUUUGCUCUUAAUAUAAUGAACAAAGUUCAAAUUUAUAAUGUUAUUUAUAUAAUGUCUUUAUUUUAGUUGUAGGUUUUAUUUUUACAAAAAGUUGACUUUUUCUAUGCAAGUGGAUAGUACAUUAAUAUAUGAGAUGAAUUAACAUCAAGGUGGAAUAGCAGUGAUUUCGUUCUUCCAAAAAAAACUAUACUCCAUAUGCCAAAAAAAACUUUACAAUGCAAUAAAAGAAUCACAUCUAGACCAAAAUUGAGAUUUAAAUAUGUAGAAACCCUGGUUUGAAUUUAGAGGAAGAACCGUUGGCUACAACGUUGAAUCGGGUUUGGUCAAACCACUCAUUACCAUUUAUUCGGUAUAACUUGUUUCCUUCGAUUUUUACCAUUUAAUUAUAAUUUUAUCAUUAUUCAUUCAAUCAAAUAACCUAAUCUUUUUAAAUAUUUACAUAAUCAAAUCAUGUAACCUUCAUUAUUUUCUUUCACGGGUGUUUUUUAACAGAAAAUGUUAGUAAUAUUAAGUAAUAAAAGAUUUUGCAUCUUAAAAAACAAGAAAUAUUAAAUAAAAUUUUAUUAUCAUAUUAUUAAUAGUAUUAUAAAGACCUCUAUAGUUUUUUUUCUUUCUAGAAUACACUUUAGAUUUCGCUUUAGGUUUCAAUAAGCAUUGAAUUGCUCUUACUAACAUUAACUAUGUUAGAUUUCGUUUUAGGGUUCGAUAAGUGUUAAAGAUAUUUUAUAAUGGGUAUGUUAAAUAUUUUGUGAUGAGUGGAACUUGAUAAUUGUUCUUCUCCCAUCUGUUUUUGUUAAUCCCGUCAAAGUAGUCGAGCGUGAGUCUCACACAUGUGUAUUUUUCAGAUGGGAGAAGAGCAAUUCUCGUGAAACUGUGCAACGAUAUUGUGAAGUACAAUGGUUGGAAUUGUGAUAACUCUUUCCGUAUGGAUAGGAGGAGCUGAUGGAGUUGCUAAUAGUGUAUCUCAUUUCUUGGAAUCUAAGCACAUCUUGUGUUUGGCAAUGUCCUUAGGAUAUUAUUGAUGUCCAACUUAAUAAUAUUGACAUCACGAGAAAACUAAGAAAACACUCUUUAGCAUUUUCUUAAAAUUAUUAUACAUUGAAUGCUUUUUUUUAGUUUAUGGAAAGCCAUUUCGAGAAUGCUGUUAAUUAUUGAAUUUGACCAUUUUUAUAGAGAAGAAAAUAAGCACAGUCAUAACAGUGUAGAUUAUCCUUACUAUAUUUUGCAAGCGCACGAGGUUUUAAAUCAAAUGUUUGAAUUUUCUAUAUUCAUUAAUUAUAUAUAAGUUUGAAGAGGAAGAAUAGAAAAGUAAAACACUCAAUUAAAAAAUACAAAACGAAAAGUCAACAUUGGAAUACCGUUUCUGGCCUGCUAAGUUUGUUUUAUGCAUACAUUUGGCAUGGUCUAUUUAUGUUCAUAACUUGUUGAGUUGAAACUACUCUAUUUUAUAUUAUAAAGUUUGAAUUGUUUCAAAUAUUUAUAUUUAUUUACUAAAAAUAUUAAUUCAAUGCAUAUACAUUUCUUCAAUUUUUGGCUCAGAACUAAAACGCUAAAUGCUGUGUAAUAAUGGACUUUAUCCAAUCCUUACUUAUGUCAUUGUAUAGUGUGGAAGAUUGAAGAAAAAUUGACUUGGCUCAAAUAAAAAGUUGGCCAAGAUGUUUUAUUAUAACAGAACAAGAGAUUGAGAAAAUCACACAUCUGAUGCACCCCAAAGUUAGGCAAUGGAGUGGGACAUUAAAGCACAUAAACCAAGGGAGUAUAGAAACUAUUUUUAAUUUUUAUUGCAACAUCAAUUAAUUUUUCAAAAGACUAGUCUUCCUUUGUUUUAAAUAUAAAUACAAAGACGUUUUUUUUAGCUUAAUUCAAUUGACAUGGACAUUACAAAAUAUAUAUAGGAGUCGAGGUACGAACCACGGACAUUCCACUUAUUCACCUUGUCGAAGUGAAUUUCUAAUCAUUAGAUCACUUAAAAAUUAAAAAUACAAACACAUAUUUGGUCUAAAUUUAGACGAUAUAGAUGUAUAUUUUUAGACAAACCAAAAUGGAAUAUAUUAAGUGAUCUACAUUUCUUUUUUUGAAAGGUGUUGUUUCUAGAUUUGUCAACCGCGUAAUACAGCCAUAGAAUUUUUUGGGAAACAAAUACUAUAGUAUUAGCAACUGAAGACCAGGUCCAAUACCAUUACUUCAUUUGUUUUUUUCUUUCGAUAUCUAUUUUAUGUUACGACUAGAUUAUUCAUGCAAAGUUUAUCUUAUCUUACCGUAUAUAAAACUUUUACAGUCAAAUACAUGGUUAAUUUGAUAAUAUUAUAUAUAUACCGUUCACUAUUAUAUAUACCUUUUGGAAUGACCAAAAGAAUUUUCCUAUGUUUAGAGGACCAAAAGUAGAUCGAAGAACAAAAAAACAUAUAUGAUACAAUCACGAGGUUUGUGGAUGAGAAAUGCGAUGGACUUUUCUUUGAGGAGCAAUUUCUGUAUCAGUUAAAACAAUAGGAGAAAAUGUUUCGACACUAGCAUCAAGUGGUAUAUCAACAUUAGUUAUUCCGAGUAGUAGGAUAAAGCAUUCAAGAUUCAACAUACCAAUAGGUAUAAAUGAGAAUUCUACAUUCUGAAUCAAGUGAGGUGAUCCUUUAACCCAAUUCAUUAUCAAAUCAAAGCUUAUUAUAUGGGAUGAAGACUAUUAGGGGUAUAGUUUGAGUUUCUAAACUUAGAAGUUUGGACUUAAUUUUGAAGGAAAAGUGGUCAUCUUGUGUGGUUAUUUAAGAGAAACUCUUCAAAUCAUUCCGAAGGGAUGCAAAAUAAAACGAUGUACAUGCUGACAUUAAUUUAUCAUAACUUUGGCAAUUUUGUCGAGUAUUAAAAUUUACCAAAUAAAUGAAUGCUCAAAUUUAAUGGUGGAAAAAUGUUAAAUUUUUUUUAAAAGUGAAUUUAGAUGACUGAUAUUGAUCAUGAAUUAGUGAAAAUAGAGGAUUAAAAGUGAAUUUAGAAUAUAUUAUUACUUAAGUGCAGACAGGCAUGCGGUAGUGGAGUGCAGAUCCUCUCCAUUUGUGGUAGAAAUUGCAAUCUCAAUUUCCUUUCAUAAAAACAAGACACGUGGAUAAGUAAAUCUCAAUGGCUCUUAUUCAUUUGACAUAUUCAUUUAUAAUUUUUUUUUUAUUUUAAUAAACAAAAUAUAGGAAGUCACGUCCUCUCAUCUUUCCUCUCUCCUCUCUCCCUCAUUUGGUUCCGCAAUCCAUUGCAGAACCCAUCUCCAUAUAAAGCCACUGCAUCGCCUUGUUGUGCCCGUCGUUGCUGACUACACCUCAUCAUUCUGUCGUAGCGCCGCCAUAGUCUUGUUUCCAAACAUGAGAUUGUUGUCUGCACGUGGUCUCGUCGUCUCCGUGUUGUUGCUGUGCCGACUCGUCUUUGUGUUGUCGACUUAUCAUUCCAUCUACGGCCGCCAUAGUCUAGGUGGGUUCUUCUUCUUGAGUUAUAUCAUAGGCCCGUCAAUUAGAGUUGUCAAAAAUGGACCGACCUAUUGGCCCAUGCUUUUGGGCCGGGUCGGGCCUGAAAAACUAGCCCAAAAAUGCACUCGGGCUUUUUGGCCCAUACGAAAGUUGGGUCGGACCGGACUGGCCCAUCGGGCUUUGGGACGGCCCAUUAGCCCGUAUUUCAUUUGAUUUUUGUUAAAAAAAUGGUAUAUUAUUUAAAAAAUUAUCAACUAAUUUAAAAUUUAUUAAUAAAAAUAUAUUAAAUAAAUAAACUUAAUAGAUAUGAAUGAAUUUAGUUUAAAGUUUUAAAAUUUUAAAGUUUAUAAAUUAUUAAUUUGAUUUAAUUGAAGGAAAAAUCUAUUGUUUAACUAUUAUUCAACGUUAAUGUAAAAAUUAUUUACAUUUUUAUAUCCAUCCAAUCAUAAAUGGGCUAGGCCGGUCCGGGCCAGCGCAGCUCAUUUGACACCUCUACCGUCAAUGGGUUUGUGGGUUCUUCUGGGUAGUUUAACCAGAAGUUAUGCGACAGUACCAAUUGUUAGAUAAUAAAGGAAAAAUCCACUUAGUGUCAAAGAAGAUGAAGAUCACAGAAUUAAAGAAAAUAAAACAGAGGGGAGGAAGGCUACCGUAGACGGAAUGGCCGUGGUUGCUGAAACUCGGGAAAGAAGAAUAAAUCCUCUUAUUUCUAAAACAAAUAUUUUUUAAUUGGUAUGUGUAAGACAAUGAAUGUGAAACGUUGAUAUAUUAAGUUGCCACGUGUCUUGAUUUUAUGAAAGGAAAUUGAGAUUGCAAUUUCUCCCACAAAUGGAGAGGAUCUGCAAUCGUUGUAGUGGGCCUCCAUAUUGACAAAAAAAGCUUGACGUUGCGGACACAUUAUAUUAUCUAAUAUUAUAAUUUUAUUUUAAUCACUAUAUUUUUGUUCAAAUUUGAAUUAUGACUGGUUUAGAUUAAUUUAAAGAUUGUAUUAUAUUUGAUUCAAAAUUUUAGUUAUCAUCAGAUCAAAUUUUAUUUGAUCCAAAUUUAAAAUUAAGACUAGACUAAAUUAUUUAAUUAGACAAAAGCGAAUAAUUGUAAAUAAAAUAGUUUAAAUGAAGAGUUGAAUUGAAAUAAAAUAAUAACACUAAAAUUGUGUAUUUUUUUCAGCAAAAUGCUAACUCAGAGCACUAAAUAACACGACUCUUCUUUUUAUAUAUCGAUAUAGGAGCUUAUUCUUGUUUUUGACCGGAUGAACUUAGUCUUGUAACUUUAAGGUACAUAAUUCAAAUUCUCUCGUGGACUGAUGUAAAAUAUAGUCAUUUGCACCAAAAAAAUUUAGCAUUGUUUUAUUUAUUAUUAUAAUUUAAUUUAAUAAACAUUUCAAUUUAAUUAACAUAAAUCAGACUUCUAAUUAGUACAACGAAAACAAAUCUGACGUGUAUAGUAAAAGUUAAUGUAGUAUUUGACUAUUACUCCAUUUGGUACUCCCUCCGUUAUUAAAUAUAAGUAAAAUUGACUUUUUAAGUACAUUUAAUUAAUGAUGUAUGUGGUCCAUAUUAUGAACCACAUACAUCAUUAGUUGAAUGAACCAAAAAAGAAAAAUUUGCUUAUAUUUAGAAACGGAGGGAGUAUAAAUUCGGCUAGUUAUUGCUAUUACUUAUUAGGGUUGAGCUCCUCUCCAUUUGUUACAAUAAAUCGAGAUUGUAAUUAGGAAAGAAAUAGACACAAAAAAUAGGUUGUGAUCCUAUCAUCGAAUAAGUCUCACCAUCAUUAAUUAUAUUUAAGAUUUUUUGUGUUUAUAUCUUUUCAAAUUGAAUAAAAUAAUAAGAGAUUAAAUGAAGAAGAUCUUAACUCAACUUAUUAGUAGUAUUUGACAAAAUCUUAUCUUUAACAUAAAUAAUAUACUUGCGUCAAAUGAUAUAACUUUUUGAAUAUUAUUACUUUUUUUUAAUGCAAAAAUGUAUUAAUGUAUUAAAAUUUAAUCUAAAUUCAUGCAGAAAUGAACUAUGAUGAGAUACCGAAUCCUUUCAAUAACAAAGAUGUGGUCGACAUAUGUUGUUUCACCUCCUUUAAGGAUAAAAACAUAUUUAAAGAAAUUCAAAUUCUAUCGAAUUUGUGGAUGAUAAAGACUAAAAUCCUUCCCACUUGGUUGUCAUGUCUAUUAUCAUGGUUUUCCCUUCUCUAUAAUAUUAAUGUAUUAAAAUUUGAUCUAAAUUCAUGCAGAAAUGAACUAUGAUGAGAUACCGAACCCUUUCAAUAACAAAAAUGUGGUCGAUAUAUGUUGUUUCACCUCCUUUAAGGAUAAAAACAUAUCUAGAGAAAUUCAAAUUCUAUUGAAUUUGUGGAUGAUAAAGACUAAAAUCCUUCCCACUUGGUUGUCAUGUCUAUUAUCAUAGUUUCCCCUUCUAUCAUAUUAAUGUAUUAAAAUUUCAUCUAAAUUCAUGCAGAAAUGAACUAUGAUGAGAUACCGAACCCUUUCAAUAACAAAAAUGCGGUCGAUAAUGUUGUUUCACCUCCUUUAAGGAUAAAAACAUAUCUAGAGAAAUUCAAAUUCUAUCGAAUUUGUGGAUGAUAAAGACUAAAAUCCUUCCCACUUGGUUGUCAUGUCUAUUAUCAUGGUUUUCCCUUCUAUCAUAUUAAUGUAUUAAAAUUUGAUCUAAAUUCAUGCAGAAAUGAACUAUGAUGAGAUACCGAACCCUUUCAAUAACAAAAAUUUGGUCGAUACAUGUUGUUUCACCUCCUUUAAGUAUAAAAACAUAUAUAGAGAAAUUCAAAUUCUAUCGAAUUUGUGGAUGAUAAAGACUAAAAUCCUUUCCACUUGGUUGUCAUGUCUAUUAUCAUGGUUUUCCCUUCUAUCACAUUUUUCCAUUCACAUUGUUUGAAUUACAUAUAUCAUUUUUUUCCAUAGAUAAAAUGACAAAUAACCAUUAAAACUUACACACAUAUUAAAUGAGUUGAAGUUCGAACUCAAUUAUAUAACUUAAUAAUUUUAAUAUUUUUACCAAGGGAUCUUCUACGGUGCAGUCAGAAAACUGACUUGUUAAAAAAAAAAAAUUUGAUCUUAAUGUUUGAUUCAUUUUUAAAUUGUUGAUUACUGAUUAAUGAUCGAUAGUAAUUCAUCCAGUAAUGCUUGCAACAUUUUGAACUUACAGGUACUAUUUUAUCGUUGGAAUCUUUAACAUGCAAACAUAGUUGAUGAUAUUAUAUGAUAAUCUUAAGUGUUACACUUUGUGGAGUCUUGUUAAUCUGAUGAUACUACGAGGACUGAACUUUUGAUGUCAUUAUACAAACACUGAAAUAUUAUCACUAUAUUUUUAAUGUUAUAGUAUUAACUUCAUCUGAAAAAUCAUUAUCAUACCUUCAUCUUACUUGAAGUGAUGAUAAUUUUCCGUAUAGCUUAUGAACACAUCUUACUUGAAUUUAUUUCCACUAAAAGAGAUUCGACCAAAAAUGUUAAAAAAAUCAAAGAGUAGAAGUUAUUUUGACUCAAACUCAAUCAAACAACACGCAUUUUCUCUCUCUUACCCAGUCACCUAAUUUAGCAUCUUGACUCCUUUAUAUAUCUCCACAUCCCUCAACCUUUCACCCCUUCCAAACCCAUUUCCUCUCUCUCUCUCUCUCUCUCUCUCUCUCUCUCUCUCUUCCUCUUCUCAUGCCAUUCUAACUCUUUUUCAUUCAUUCACUAUCUUUAAAAAAUGGCAGUGGAACUCAUGGGGUUCCCAAAAAUAGAUGAACAAAAAGCCAUACAAGAGGCUGCAUCAGAAGGACUCAAAGGUAUGGAACACUUGAUCCUAACCCUUUCUCAUCAACCAACUCAAUUAAACACUCAACUAACCGACCACACCGUUUCUAAGUUCAAAAAACUCAUCUCUUUACUUAACCGAACCGGUCAUGCCCGGUUCAGACGCGCCCCGGUUCACUCCUCUUCCUCAUCAGCACCGGUUCAACCGGUUCAGAUUCAAUCAACACCUUCACCGGUUCAAACACCAACCGUAUCUUUACCAAAACACUUUCCUUCUCCGUCACAGGCACCGGCGCCAAUCUCCGUGCGUCACGCGCCGGCGAGCUUUGUUCAACCACAAUCACACAGCAUGACACUCGAUUUCACGAAGCCAAACGACGUUGUUUUGAGCUCAAACACGAAAAACUCCAUGGUUGAGCUUGAAUUCUCGAAGGAUACAGCAACGUUUAGCGUUUCUUCAGCUUCAUCGUUUAUGUCAUCUGCUAUUACCGGUGAUGGAAGCGUUAACGGGAAACAAGGAUCUUCGAUUUUUCUCAAUCCUGCGGCGACACCAGCUAUCUCCGGUGGAAAGCCGCCUCUUUCGGCGGUGCCGUCUAAGAAAAGGUGUCAUGAUCAUGGGGAACACUCCGAUGACGUUUCAGGGUCGAAUAAGUGCCACUGUGUUAAGAGAAGGUACACCCUACACUCCUUUACCUGCGUUUCACUCAAUUAUUAUCUUUUACUGGUAGUGUUUCUGGUGUCCAAUAUGUGGUAGUGUUCGCCAGAAUCAAUUGUAUUUUUUAAAUUAUUAUAACAUCACAUAUGGGUGUCAUAUCCAGUGUCACUCAUAAUUUUUUAGUAGAUCAAUGUAAUGAUAAAUAACCAUCAAAACUUGUACAAAGUGAUAAAAAGACAAAGAUUAACAACCGGAUUAGAUGCUUUAACGUCCGACUUAACAAUUUCGAUAGGUUAGAAUAUGAGGACGGUCAUAUGUAUUUUUUGAUUGGAGCCGUUUUUUGUUUGACUCGUUCACAUUAAUUAGAAAGGGAAAAGGUUAAUGGUUUCUUAACGAAUCACGUGAAUUUGUCGUGUGAGUGGGGUAAGGUUACCUUGAGAGUCAACGAUUUCGGUGGUGGUGUGGUUAAAAUGCUUUAAUAGGUAACAGUGUGUUUGAAAGUGACAACACAACAUAGGGUUCUGUUUUUGCUGUCUGAGAAAGAAAACACUAGAGAGAAAUUCAAACAAAGUUAAAGUGAUGUGAACUCUCUUUUUUCCUUUUUCAAUUCCCUUCACUUAAUUGCUUUGACUGUUGACUUUUUUUUCUUAAUUUAAUUAAUGCACCCACCCCCAGCGCAUAAUAGUAUUAGUAACGCAUUUUUUGAUUAUGACUUAGUAUAAGUUCAAAUUAAAUUAAGGGAUAAUAAGAUUUUAAUUUGUGUGGGAAUACAAAUUUUUGUGUAUCAUAUGAUUUGAUUCAAGUCACUCUUUUCAAUACCGAACAAAAGUAACAAGUUUCUUGAAUUUGAUUUUUUUUUUCCAGAAAAAAUAGGGUGAAAAGGACUGUGAGAGUACCGGCGAUAAGUUCAAAGACCGCCGAUAUACCACCGGACGAGUACUCAUGGCGGAAAUACGGUCAGAAACCGAUCAAGGGUUCGCCAUAUCCACGGUAAGAGUUAUACAUGAUCAAUAUAAUCUUGACCGUUAAUUAUGUUGACUUUUAUUAAAGACUUGUUUUCUAACGUUGAUUUAUUCUUUCUUUUAAUCAGAGGCUAUUACAAGUGUAGCACAGUGAGAGGGUGCCCAGCAAGGAAACACGUGGAGCGUGCAACCGACGAUCCAACGAUGCUGAUUGUAACGUAUGAAGGAGAGCACAGACACACUAUUCAAGCUGCGAUGCAGGAGAACGCAGCCGGGAUUGUGGGUUUGGUAUUUGAGUCAACGUAACAAGGGGAAUUAAAAAACUUGGAGGAAAGUGGGAGAAUGGAGGACUUUUCAUUUAAAAAUUAAAAAUGAAUUUAUUUUUGUUAGAAAAAUAUGAGUGGAAGUUAAGGUGGGGCUGCGUUGUAAAUUUGUUUUAUUAUUAUAUUAAAAUAUUUUAAUAUAGAGAUGGAAAAUUGGAAUCUUAAGUUGUUUAUUUAUUUAUAUCUGCUCGCCAAAGUCUUGCCAACCAUUAUUUUUUUUAUGAAAAAAAUCCAUGAUUAAUUAUUAUGACUUUGUGUUGGGGAGAGGUGGUAUCCGAGGGAGGGUUAGAAAUAUUUUAUUUAUAUAUGAUCUCAUAGAGAAAUAAUUGAGGUGUUAUUUUGCCCUAAAAAAAUUGAGGUGAUUAUUUUAUUAUUCUAGAUGUCUGAGUUUGGUUGACAAAAUGUGGCAUAUUAUAAAGACUCAGUGUAUGCUUGAAAAUGAUUAGUUUUUUUCAAACAUUAUUUUUAAGGGGUUUAUGUUUUCAAACACGUUGAUGAGAGUUUUUUUUACUAAAUAAAUUAUUCAAUUUAACCCUUCAAGGCUUGCAAUUUAACAAUUCAAUAGUCAGCGGAAAAUCGAACAAUUGGUGACAUUGUUUAUGCAAAAUAGUGGUAGUUGGAAGACUACAGUAAGGUUGUUCGCAAAGAUUAAUUUAAAAAAAAAAAAGGUUAAUGAUGUUUUAACCCUUGUAAUAUAGAGGUCAUUUUUUGUUUUUCUCAUGUAAUAUUUUUUUUUUGGAAUAUCAUCCUAAUAGGUCAUAAAAAAACGACUUUAUUUUUUUUUUUUCAUAAUUUUUUCAUUUUUUUAUGAUCUAAUAGGGGUAUUCCAAAAAAAAAAAUAUUUUACAGGGGGGUAAAUCAAAAAAAAUAUUUUACAGGAGGAAAACAAAAAAUGACCUAUAUUACAGGGGGUAAAACACAAUUAACCCAAAAAAAAUUACUAAGAAAGAGAAACAUCACUUCUUCCGAAUACUCCUUUUAAAAAAAGGGUUUGUCUAACCUUUUAAUACUCCUUGAAUAUUUUUUUUCGUAUAACCGGAUUUUUUGCAAAACAUGAAGAUCUUGGGUUUUUUCCAAGAGCGGGGGAUACUUUCUCCCACACUAAACGCAGUUGAGCACGUAAACAAAUUCAUUCUAUCAUUGAUUUCAGGAGACGAAAAGGAAUAUAUCAGUUUUGAUCGGUUUUCAAAUCAGACGAGAAUAACGAGGUACAAAGCGUCAAGUUGUGGAUUUGAUAAAGAGCACGACAAAAACUGCUAUGUUCAAAAUUAAUAAUAUGGGAUUGAGGCACCAAUAAUGCAUCAUUACUAUUUUGAGGCAUUUGACCAAACCAUGCGCGAUAUAAUAUCUUAUGAUGGUGUCGAUAAUACAGACAAACUAUUUGGGGGUGUUUCUGUGGUUUCAGGCGGUGAUUUCAUAAUUUUUUUGUCAGUGAUAAGAAAAGGAGGCAGACAAGACAUAAUUGCUUCAUCCAUCAACACAUCGAAGUUGUGGAGUCACUGUAAGGUUCACACACUUACAACAAAUAUGCGUUUACGUGGUUCAACCGCUCGUGCCGAGUAAGAUGAGAUAAGAAAGUUUGUUGAUUGGAUGCUUUCAAUUGGAGAUGGAAUAGGAUCCGCCAACGAGAGUGGAGAAAUUAACGUACUCAUUCAUGAUGAGUUACUGAUAAAAGAUUCCCCUGAUCUGUUGCGUUCUCGGGUUGAUUUUGUAUAUCCGGAUUUUACGCAAAACAUGAAGAUCUCAGAUUUUUUCCAAGAGAGGGGGAUACAUGCUCCCACACUGGACGCAGUUGAGCACGUAAACAAAAUUCCUCCUAUAAUUGGUUCCAGGAGAUGAAAAUGAGUAUAUCAGUUUUGAUUUGAUUUGCGAAUCAGACGAGAAUAGUGAGGUACAAAGCGAAUGGUUUUCCACUGAAUUCUUAAACAAAUAUCAAGUUUUCCGAUAUUUCAAACCACAAGUUGAGAUUUAAAGUUGGACGUCCAAUUAUGUUGAUGAGGAACAUUGACCAAACAAUUGGAUUGUGCGAUGGGAUUAGGUUGAUUGUAGACAAUCUUUGGAGGAACUUUAUCGGUGCAAUUGUUAUUACCGAAGAAAAUGCUGGUGAAAAAGUAAUUAUUCCAAGAAUGAACUUAUUUCUGAGUGAUUAUAAACUCGCUUUUAAAUUAACUACGAGACAGUUCCCGUUGAUUUUGUGUUUUGCAAUGACAAUAAAUAAAAGUCAGGGUGAGUCGUUGAAAUCUAUCUUUCCGAACCGGUUUUUACUCAUGGACAGUUGUACGUCGCUGUGUCGAGAGUCACUUUCAAAAAGGGAUUGAAAAUGCUUCUCGAUGAAGAAAAUCACGUGUGUACUGAGACCACUAAUGUUGUGUACCGUGAUGUUUUUUGGAACGUUUCACCGGUCGUUCCUGAUGACGCAGGUGGGUAUGAGUUUUUUUUUUCUCUUUUAAACUUCGUUGUAAUAUAUAUAUAUAUAUAUAUAUAUAUAUAUAUAUAUAUAUAUAUAUAUAUAUUAUUUGAAUAUGAAUUGGUUGUUGCUACUUGCAACCAUUCUAAUAGUUGUGUAAAGAAAGAGUAAUGGAUUGGUCAUGUAGAUAAACUACAAUUCUGCAACUAACAAUUGAGAUCACACUUCUUAUUUCAUUGUAUAAAAUACGAUUACAUUUAUUAUUGUGCAGAGAACAGACUGAGUGAUCGAUUUGUUAUAGAGACUAAUAUGUUAUAUGGAGUAAUAUUUUUGAUCCAUUUUCGACAAUAUUUUUGGUCUCAUGUACCUUCAGGUGCUGGUUUUGUGCUUCAGGUUACGUGAUAUCAUUCAGAUGUACACAGGCUGACGUUAAUGAAAUUUCUCUUGCAUUGAAAUAUCAUUGACCAAUUGCAAUAGGUGCAAUGCUUUCUCUUCGACGGCGAAAUUAACACUGCCUGAUACAUUAAGGUGUUUAUCUGCUGAGACUUCGAUUUUUCUAUUAUCUGAUAGAGCAACUCCAAUAUUCUCAAAUUCAGUUUAAUUUUAUUUAUAAAGUCAGUUUAAUUUUUAUACAAUCAGCUAUAUAUCCGUUUUUUUUUGUUCUUUGGAGCGCCUAUGUAUAUGUGCAUGCACAUGACAAUUUUGUAGUCCCUUUUUCAAGCUUUUUUGUUGUAUUUUUGUUGAUAGGUUGUUUUAUAAUAUGCUUUGUUAAAAAAUGCGAUAGAUAGUUGGUGUCUUUGUCGUUGUUUGUUAUACUUAUUUGUUACGCGAUUGAAUAAUUACAAAUUUGUGUUGGAUGUUAAGCUGAAUCAAGUGUAUGCACGAUAUUAACUUUGUAUAUAUAAGGGUAUCCGCUAUAGAAAUCAUGGAAUUUGAAAGAAACUAUAUAUAAGGGCAUCUGGUAGAGACGAUUCUUUGGGUAGGGACAAUUAAUUGUAUAUGCAGUGGUAGGCCUCGAGACUCCAAUACCCCCAGUUAUAUGCAGAAUAACCAAAACAAAACAAAAAAAACAAGACUCAUGUCUCCGUGAUUAAUUUUAGUCCUCCAUGUAAAAUGUUCCGGCAUUAAAUACUAAUAUUUCGACGUUACAUCCGUUAAAUCAUUCAUGUUUAACGAUACGAAAAUCCAAAUAACUAUAUACACGUUGAUAUUUGUAUAUAAUAUGUAAUCGAAAAUAUGAUAACAAUGCGUUUUAUUGAUAUAUUGUGUAUAAAAUAAUGAAUUUGCCGUUUAAUUAGAUUUUAUAUAAAAAUAAUAAUAAUAGUUGCAAUUCUAGCCCGUGCUUGGCACGAGUUUCCAAGCAAAUAUUUAAUACUAAAUGUUCAAAUUCCAAUACAAAAUUACUAUUUUAAAUUUCUUUACAUGUGUAAAUUUGCACAUGAUAGAAAAACUCUUAAAAAAAAUGGUUUUUACAACCUCUAACGUAACAAUAACUCAUCUAUAUAAGUUCUCUUUAGCAAAAUUUUAGGUUUAAAUAUGCCUUUAGUCCUUGCACUUUCAUCAGAUUUUGGCAUUGGUCCCUACACUUUUUUUUUGUUUGGAAUUGGUCCCUGCACUUUGUAAAAAUAUUGGUAUUGGUCCCUCUAUUAACUUUCUGUUAAAAAAAACACAAAACUAUUGGUAUUGGUCCCUGCACUUUGUAAAAAUAUUGGUAUUGGCCCCUGCACUUUGUAAAAAUAUUGAUAUUGGUGCCACGUGGCGUGAAAUGAUUGGGCCACGUGGCACUCCGUUAGUUUUAUGUUUUUUUUUUAACAGAAAGUUAACAGAGGGACCAAUACCAAUAUUUUUACAAAGUGCAG